rnacentral:rRNA from 1 species
UACGGAGGGUGCGAGCGUUGUCCGGAAUCACUGGGCGUAAAGGGCGCGUAGGCGGCCUGACAAGUAGGGGGUGAAAUCCUGCGGCUUAACCGCAGGGCUGCCUUCUAAACUGUCAGGCUCGAGCACAGUAGAGGCAGGUGGAAUUCCCGGUGUAGCGGUGGAAUGCGUAGAGAUCGGGAAGAACAUCAGUGGCGAAGGCGGCCUGCUGGGCUGUUGCUGACGCUGAGGCGCGACAGCGUGGGGAGCAAACAGG